rnacentral:rRNA from 1 species
AUUGAACGCUGGCGGCAGGCCUAACACAUGCAAGUCGAACGAGUGGCGGACGGGUGAGUAAUGUCUGGGAAACUGCCCGAUGGAGGGGGAUAACUACUGGAAACGGUAGCUAAUACCGCAUACCACUGGACUUUACCAGAUGUGAGUAGCUUGUAGGUGAGGUAACGGCUCACCUAGGCGACGAUCCCUAGCUGGCUUGAGAGGAUGACCGGCAACCUUGGAACUGAGAAACGGUCCAGACUCCCACGGGAGUCAGAAGUGGGGAAUAUUGCACAAUGGGCGCAAGCCUGAUGCAGCAAUGCCGCGUGUAUGAAGAAGGAUUUCGGGUUGUAAAGUACUGUCAGCGGGGAGGCGGUACCCGCAGAAGAAGCACCGGCUAACUCCGUGCCAGCAGCCGCGGUAAUUC